rnacentral:rRNA from 1 species
GAUGAACGCUGGCGGCGUGCCUAAUACAUGCAAGUCGAGCGAACAGACGAGGAGCUUGCUCCUCUGACGUUAGCGGCGGACGGGUGAGUAACACGUGGAUAACCUACCUAUAAGACUGGGAUAACUUCGGGAAACCGGAGCUAAUACCGGAUAAUAUAUUGAACCGCAUGGUUCAAUAGUGAAAGACGGUUUUGCUGUCACUUAUAGAUGGAUCCGCGCCGCAUUAGCUAGUUGGUAAGGUAACGGCUUACCAAGGCAACGAUGCGUAGCCGACCUGAGAGGGUGAUCGGCCACACUGGAACUGAGACACGGUCCAGACUCCUACGGGAGGCAGCAGUAGGGAAUCUUCCGCAAUGGGCGAAAGCCUGACGGAGCAACGCCGCGUGAGUGAUGAAGGUCUUCGGAUCGUAAAACUCUGUUAUUAGGGAAGAACAAAUGUGUAAGUAACUGUGCACGUCUUGACGGUACCUAAUCAGAAAGCCACGGCCAACUACGUG